rnacentral:rRNA from 1 species
UACGGAGGAUGCGAGCGUUAUCCGGAUUUAUUGGGUUUAAAGGGUGCGUAGGCGGGGCGAUAAGUCAGUGGUGAAAUCUUGCAGCUUAACUGUAAAAUUGCCAUUGAUACUGUUGUUCUAGAGUACGGUUGAGGUAGGCGGAAUGUGUAAUGUAGCGGUGAAAUGCUUAGAUAUUACACAGAACACCGAUUGCGUAGGCAGCUUACUAAGCCGCAACUGACGCUGAGGCACGAAAGCGUGGGGAUAGAACAGG